UCAUGGAGCAUCUAGAGCAAGAGAACCGAAAGCUAAAGGAUGAGAUCGCCAAAUUAACAACUUUGAUGGAGUCUGUCAUUGCUGCACAUAAUCAGUCAUCACCAACUCAUGCAACUCCUCCCCAGACGAGCACUAUUUCUGAGGUUGCUACCUCAAUUGUUCCUGUUGCUGCUGUCAGUCAAUCCAUGUAUGUUGGAUUCCCU
rnacentral:lncRNA from 1 species